rnacentral:rRNA from 1 species
AGAGUUUGAUCCUGGCUCAGGAUGAACGCUAGCGGCAGGCCUAAUACAUGCAAGUCGAACGAGAUUUUAUCUUUCGGGAUAAAUGACAGUGGCGCACGGGUGCGUAACGCGUAUGCAACCUACCCUUAACUGGGGGAUAGCCCGGAGAAAUUCGGAUUAAUACCCCAUAGUAUCACCAGAUGGCAUCUGAAGGUGAUUAAAGAUUUAUUGGUUAAGGAUGGGCAUGCGUGACAUUAGCUAGUUGGUGAGGUAACGGCUCACCAAGGCAACGAUGUCUAGGGGUUCUGAGAGGAUGAUCCCCCACACUGGUACUGAGAUACGGACCAGACUCCUACGGGAGGCAGCAGUAGGGAAUAUUGGUCAAUGGGCGAGAGCCUGAACCAGCCAUGCCGCGUGUAGGAAGACGGCCUUCUGGGUUGUAAACUACUUUUAUACAGGAACAAAAAGGCCAUGCGUGGCAAACUGAGUGUACUGUACGAAUAAGCACCGGCUAACUCCGUGCCAGCAGCCGCGGUAAUACGGAGGGUGCAAGCGUUGUUCGGAUUUAUUGGGUUUAAA